CCUACGGGUGGCAGCAGUGGGGAAUAUUGGACAAUGGGGGAAACCCUGAUCCAGCGACGCCGCGUGAGUGAUGAAGUAUUUCGGUACGUAAAGCUCUAUCAGCAGGAAAGAAAAUGACGGUACCUGACUAUGAAGCCCUGGCUAACUACGUGCCAGCAGCCGCGGUAAUACGUAGGGGGCAAGCGUUAUCCGGAUUUACUGGGAGUUAAGGGAGCGUAGACGGGUGCGCAAGUCUGUAGUGAAAGGCCGGGGACCAACCCCGGAACUGCUCUGGAAACUGGGAAGCUGGAGUGCAGGAGAGGUAGGCGGAAUUCGUGGUGUAGCGGUGAAAUGCGUAGAUAUCAGGAGGAACACCGGCGGCGAAGGCGGCUUACUGGACUGUAACUGACGUUGAGGCUCGAAGGCGUGAGGAGCAAACAGGAUUAGAGACCCUAGUAGUC
rnacentral:rRNA from 1 species